rfam:Candidatus Peribacteria bacterium RIFCSPLOWO2_12_FTLL_53_10 rifcsplowo2_12_scaffold_40414, whole genome shotgun sequence.
UGGGGAGUCGCCAAGUGGUAAGGCAACCGCCUCUGGAGCGGUCAUACGGGGGUUCGAAUCCCUCCUCCCCAG